UGCGUGGCGUGCGUACCUGCUCAGGAAACCUAAUGAACCGUUUCCAAAUCAUCACGCUCAAUCUUCAAUAAAAUAACUGAACAGAAUCUAAAAUCCUGAACUUUUGACUCUAACAGAUCAUCUGUGGUGGCAACAUCCAUGUUACAGCGUGUGAAUGAUGAAAAGGCCGAGAGGAUUCAUGUACAGACGGCAGCAGUCCAGGACAAUUCUAACAGAAAUGUAGAAACAGGUGACAGAGGAGCACAACAGUUUUGGGAGUCGCUCCUCUUUGUCCUCACAGAAGCUCAGAUGAGCCGAUUUCUUCUUCUGGUCCUGUGUGCAGACAUCCAGAGGAAACGCAACCCUGCACCACGAGAAGAGGGGCCGACCCUGGGACCAGCUGACGAGGCCUGAAGGACUCGCUGGUGAAAAGGCAGCAGUUGUGAAAAAAGGUGCGUCAGAUCCUGAGAGGGAACUCACCGUUAUGUCUUUUACACCAAAUAACUUCCAUACACAUUAAACAAACAUUUAAACAUGCUUAAAAUGUAGAAUAUCUAGAAGAUAACACAGCA